rnacentral:rRNA from 1 species
CCUACGGGUGGCAGCAGUGAGGAAUAUUGGUCAAUGGCCGGGAGGCUGAACCAGCCAAGUCGCGUGAGGGAAGACGGCCCUACGGGUUGUAAACCUCUUUUGUCAGGGAGCCAGGUGCAGGUCGGGACCUGCUGUGAGAGUACCUGAAGAAAAAGCCUCGGCUAACUCCGUGCCAGCAGCAGCGUUAAUACGGAGGAUGCGUGCAUUUUCCGGAUUUAUUGGGUGUAAAGGGUGCGCAGGCGGAGGGACAAGUCAGCGGUAAAAUCGCGGGGCUCAACCCCGUUCCGCCGUUGAAACUGUAUCCCUUGAGUGCGCGAAGGGUAGGAGGAAUGCGUGGUGUAGCGGUGAAAUGCAUAGAUAUCACGCAGAACUCCGAGCGCGAAGGCAGCCUACCGGCGCGCAACUGACGCUCAUGCACGAAAGCGUGGGUAUCGAACAGGAGUAGAUACCCGAGUAGUC